AAAAUCUUAAUACAUGUGCAUAUGUAUUAGGUUGAAUCAUUUGAUACUGUUGUUUUGUAAGUGAAAAACAGAAUAUCAGCAAUUACAUGUAUCAUAACCUAAAUUAUGUGAGUAUAGACAAAUGUGUGGAAGAAUCUACAUUAAACUGUUAACAUCAACUAAUUGUUGGGAGAGAGCCACAGCAUGGCUUGAUGAGCAGUGCUAGGUCUGAGCCUAGGAUCUGAACCAGGGAACCCCAGGCUGCUGAAGUGGAGAAGGUGAAUUUAACCACUGGGCCAUGGGGCCAGCCCCUACAUUUUCUUUUAUAUAUCUAUCCUCAUAUUUUUUAACUUGUUGCAAUAAGUUUGUAUUACUGUUUUUCUUAUUUUACAGAGAAUAAAUUGAUUAGAAAAAAGAUACUAAUUGUAUUUGCAACAUGAGCAUCAUUAAUCAAGGCAGGACAAUUUCCUUUUUACUUAUUUAUAGAUCAAUCGAUCAAUCGAUAGAUCAACAGAUAGAUCCAGCUCCUAACAUAGUGCUACGUAAAAAUAUGUUAAAGGAAAAGAUGAAAAAAAGUGCAUGAAUGAAUGAAUGACCAUAACCAGAGAAGGUUUUUGAAGAAUAGUGAAAAUUUAAAGAAGCUCAACUGGAAUGAGUUGAUAGGUAUUUGGGGAUUAAAAAAAAAAAAAAUAGAGGCGGUAUAAAUAUCUUUUUUAAACAGUUUGGUCAACAAUAAGCUAGGUAAGGUGGAUGUUAACAUUGGUUAAAAGGGAUCCUUUUGUAGUUGUGCAUUCCUGGAGCACAUUUACAUGUUUACUAAUAUUGUUGUUGGCAAAGAGGCUGGAGAUAGAGAAAGAGACAGGAUAACUACAAGAUGGAGAUCACUGAGAAAGCAGGAGGAGGUGCUGGUCUUGAAUUGGUUCAUACAGAAUUCCUCUAUUAAAACAAAAAAGAAGGAAAGGCUGCAGAUGCAGGUCUAUUUGUCAAUCUGUUGUAAGACUGGGAGCAUCUUGGCUGAUGAUGACUUUGUCUCUGUGAGGCAUGGAGAUGAGAUACAAUGCAUGUGCCUUUAAUGCUGCAAUGGCUUUUGCUGAGCCUAAUAUCUGCAUAAGGAGAGGUGAUACCUUACAUGCUUUCAAAGUUACAACUUUUUGUUGUCAUUUGCAUGCCCAGCUACUAAUUCUGAAGGGUGGUCAUUAUGCCAGGCUGCCUAGGACAGAUGGAAUUUCAUCCUUAGUUAUACAUUGUCAAAUAGAUUCUCCCCAUACGGCAAACCUGGAGUUGAUCACACCCAGCCUGUUCUCUCCUUUUCCUCUUGGUGAGUUCCUAUUUGGGGUCCUCGGUUCCUUUCUUCAGUCAGGACCACUGAAGGGCUUUAAAAAGAAGGAGAUGCAUUCUGGAUCCCUUUUCUUCCAAAAGCUCUGUAUCAGUUGGGGUUGAGUUAGGAAACCAGAAAUAACUCCAGGUGUUUCAAAGAACAAACGGCUUAAUAGAGGGAUUAGAAAACCAUUAGAAGGCCUGGGAAAGAAACGAUUAGGGAGGCCACUCUACCAUUUAGGAAAUCAGGAAAUGCUCAGAUUACAGGAAACGACUGCCAUUGAUUUCACUGCCCACUGCCCAAAGGCAGGCGAUUCUUUGGAAGACAUCAGUAAGCUGUUGGAAAAAUCUUGAUGUGGAAGCCUCGGUAAUUGCCAGCCACAGCCACAAGAAUAAUAAUUGCUUUUCCUUUUCCUAUGCUUUCCAAAAUUAUACUAGUUCCUCUCAUUGGCGGAAUCUAACUUAGGACAUACUGGCAGGAAUUUUUGAAAAUGCAGGUCCCAGUCUUCUAGCUCCUAGGAUAAAAGGAGAACAUAGAAGGGGAUAGUAGGGCAGAGUGGCCAACACAAUUCCACACAACCCAGCAUAUUCUCAGUCAAAUUACAUGUGUUCUUUCCCAGAGAAAAGUCCUCACUUGACCUACAGUAGGAGAUGCUGAAUAUGUGUUCUCUGAGUAAGACAAUGCUAAUUCAGGGGAGACCGCCUUAGAAACUUACCCCAGUAAGUUGAAGUUAGUCAUGCCUUAAAGAGCUAGGCUGAUUUUCCCCUGGCUGCCAUUAUCACAACUCCAUUAACAGUAGCCCCCAGGGCAUAGCAAAUUAUCAUAGGAGUCAUUUAUAAGGUCGCCAAGCAGAAACUCAGUAAUAUUUCUAUGCUUUUGCUGAUUCCUACCAAGUCAUUUGAAAGCCAAAAUAGGGGGAAAGGAAGUACCACUUUCAAGGCAUCACUAAACACUCACAUUCAUAAUAAGUUACACUUCUCUAUCUAUGAAGGUAGGUAGGUCUGUUGCAUAUAAUAAUUUAGUAAAGAUGAUUUGUAAGACAGUUUGAGAGAAAAAAUUUAUAGAUGAGAUUGCUUUGAAGGUUUUAACUUAAAGCAACUUUGUAAACUAGUGUUGUUAAAGAAAGUAGAAAUUUAAGAAAGUUUGAGCAGGAUGCAAACACUAAAAUCACAGUAUCUUCACUCAGGAUAUUAUACUGAGUAGUCCACAAGGAACCAUUACAGUUAAGUUUAGUAGCAAGACUUUGGAAAAGCUGAGAAUACUAUAAUAAAAUCAAUGAGUUUUAUGAAACCAUGAUCAACCCUUUCAAUUUUAUGAAAUGUCAAGAAUUUUUUAUUUCUGGAUUUAAAUUUGAGUGUCGUAGAUAUCCCUCCACUUACUUCUUCCACAAGAAUAUUGGCAAGCAUACCGAACAACUAUUUCGCUUUGUGGGAACCUCAUUUUAUUUCUGUAUAGGGAAAAGUCCAGAUUCUAAGAAGAUGGUGGUCAUAACAGCACCAUAAGAUGCUUAAACUGAGACUGAUGGAAAAAGAAAUGGGAGAUUUAAAACAUAUUCUUUAGUUUUAGGAGAAACUGAAAUUUAAAGGUCGUUCUUGGCAAUAUUUGAACUUCUGUCUUAGUAAUAUAUAGAAUUUAAGACUGCCAAAAUACAACAGCUUUUAAAACAUAGGAAUAGCAAAAUAAAAGCCUCUGAAUUUUUCAUUUCUUUUGUUCUCACAGUUGAAAGUUUCCUUUUUUUUUUUUUUUGGUAUUCUGCAGUCUAAGAAACGUGAAAAUCUGGUUUUACAUAAAGCAUCAUUUCUAAAAUUAUCUAGGUAAAGAGUACCUUCUCAAAAAUUGAGAAUUUCUUUAUUAGUUAAUUGUCUUAAAAUCUUCUCUCAGAAAUUCUCUAAUUUAAAAUCAAGAGCAAUUUAAUCUGAUAUAUGUGAAAUGUCAUAUGAUAAUACAUAUAUCACAUAUAUGUAUGCAUUGCCCAUUCUAUUUAAAAAUACUUAGCAGUAGUAGCUACUGUUUUAAUUUACUUGCUGUAGUAAAAUAUUUUAAUUUUGUGCAAAAUGCAUAAACCAAAAAGAAACACAUAUUAUUUUUUCUCUCACGUAACCAAGACCAUGAAAAGACAUGCUGCUUAAUCCAGAAGAAUAUUUCCGGUUAUACCUAGUGGCAGUAUAUACUUUGUGCAACAAAACUGUGUAGAAUUAGUUAAGUUUUGACUGAUAGAUUAGAAAAUACAAGUUAAAUUGAAAUUAAGUAUUAAAGUUUGAUAAGAUAGUGAGGCUUAAGAGUGCUUUGCCAAGUGGAAUGAACACAGCACUAAGUGUUUGAGCAUUUCACUAUUCAACAAAGGUGAGGAGGCUGACCUGGCCAGAGGAAUGGGCUGUCUCAUUGGAGAGGGUAGUGAUUAAACCCUCCAGAUGUGUGAAGGCUUCCAUACUGAUCUCUUUCUUUCAAACCUUUGUAGCAUUUGCUAUUUGUGUCCUUCACUUAGUACUUAUUUUAUAUUAUCCUCCAAUUUAUAUAUCAUUUUACAUGAAAUCUCUACCUGAUUAAAUAAACUUAUAGGCCUUGAACGAUAUUUCAUACUUCUUUGUAAUUCUCAAUUGUGCAUGGCACCGUGCAUAUUAUAAGCAUGCGAUAACCAUUGCUGUUGGCACAGUUGAUUAUGAUGAUGGUGGUGGUGAUUAUGUUGGAGAGGUAGACUAGAACUUGAUUGGGGAAUUGCUUGGACACCAAUCUAAUAAAUAGAUAUGAUUUUUUUUUAAUCAAAGGGCAGAAAAGAGUUAUGGAAGAUUUAAGUGAUGAAGUCAAAAUUUCAAGGAAGAAUCCAUAUUUGCAUGUAUAAUGAAAUCAAGUGCAAUGGGGAAAAGAUAAUCUAUCACAGGAAAUCCGGUUUAAAAAUGUACAGAGUAGUUGUCUGCAGAAGAAGAAAACUAGUAAUUCAGGUUUGUUAGUAAAUCAGAAAUGAAUUAAUAAGAACUUGAACCUCAAUGACGUUCAUGACAGUGAAAAUAAAGCAGUGCAUAGUGUUAAUUGUGACUCCUGACUUGAAAUCAGAGUGUUCAUAGGAUCAGGAUUCCCAAAUCCAUAACAUAUCAGGGCUAUUGUUAUAUUUGCUAUAUUGCAAAGAAUAUAGAAUAUGUAUAGAUGCCUGCCUCCUAACCACUAAUGACUAUCCUACCUCCAAAUGCAGUGCAAUGAGUCAGAACAUACGUGGUCUGCAAAUACAUAAUUUUUUGUCUCUUCAGCUUAAUAUCUAAGCUAAAGAGUGAGAUGGACUGAACAAACUGCUCUAGAACACAUGCUAGACCUGCAACCUUAGGAUCUUAGCAUACUUGGUUUUACCACUCUGGCUAUGAGCGAAACAAGAAGAGAAUAGAAGGGGGAAAAAGAAUGGCUCUAUUUCCCUAUGGCCAAUUGCGCUUGUCAUAUGAGGAUGUGAUGCAUGGAGAUGCAGCAGACAUAUUGUGACCAUUAGAGGCAAGUCCGAAGAAGGAAACCAACAUACUGAGGAUGGAAGAGCAAAAGAAUCUCAAAUGAAUGAGCAAAAGAGCGUAAGAAUGUUCUGGAUGACGUCUUUAAGCUGCCGAAUCAACCCCGAACUCAUUCCUCUGGAUUUUUUGUUAAAUAAAAAUAACUACUCUGUACAACUAAAACAAGCUCUUAUUAAAUUUUUGUUUAUUUGGAACUAAAAGCAUUCUAAGUAAUUCAAGAAUCUACUUUAAGGAAUUGUUAAGAUUAAAUGAAAUGAGAGAUAAAAUAACUAGAAUAGAACUUAGUUGAUACUCAACUAAAAAAAAAAAAAUGCUUUUGUUGCUGCUAAUGGGGCCUAUACUAGAUCCAAGCACCUGCUGGUCUAUUGUAUGUGUCUAUAUCAUAGGUCAGAGACUCCAGCUUGGGAGGGUUUGGGAAUGAGGGGCUGUUGAAGCAAAAGGACAGAAAUUGUGGGACUAUUGGUCAAUGACAGGAACAUUAGGGUAAAAUGCAAAAUGUGUAAAAAUUUAAGUAGAGCAAUUGUUCUCAAACAGGAACUAUUUAUACUCUUAACAAUUAUUUAGAACUCUGAAAAGCUUUAUGUAAGUUGCCUAUAUCAAUAUUUACUGUAUUAGAAUUUUAAACUGAGAAAGAUUUAUUGAUUACUUCAUUUUAAUUUUACUACACUUUAUUUAAAAACAUUUUAUAUAACAUUGGGCUUUUGUACAGAUAAAAAAAUUAUGAGAAAAAUGUCAUUAUUUAAAUAUUUUUUGAAUCACUUUAAUGUCUACCUUCUCAUAAGGGUUUCUGCAUUCAAACUGUUCUGUUGUGUUUGAAGUAUAAGGAAGAAGUUUUGGUUUUACACAGAUAUGCACUUAGAAAAGGGAGGAGUAUUGUAAUAAUCUUUAAGUUAAUUGUGGUUAUUUUUUUUGGAACUACACCAAAACUUGUCAAUUUAUGAUUACUUAAAAGUUGAUUAUAAUGUAGAAUCUUGAUCCAUAGCUACAAAUAUUUCAUAGCAACAAAUAUGAAAUACAUUGAUGUGUCUUGCACCUUAAUUACCCUUUACCCAUGCAUAACUUUGUAACAUUAUCCAUUGCCUAUUUGGAAAAAUAUUGGUUAACAGAGUUAUGUGUAUCUUCCAAAAGCUGACAAAUUUAUUUUCACAUCUGUUAACAUCAUUGGUGUCCUCAUCAGAAUAUUAUUUAAGUACUGGGAAACUGUCAAGUACAUGAUAGCAGACCCACAUUCUCCAAAAUUCUAAUUUUUCAUUGAAAGCUUGAAAUUUAUCAUUGCAACAAAUAUUAUCAGUUGUUUUCCUUGAAAUGACAGGUUCACAUCAUUAAUUUUAAAAAAAAUUUCUGUCAAAACUUGUUUGAAUAAUUGUAGUAUGUCUGUCAAUUGUGUUUUCAAGUAAAAUGUUCUGCUAAAAAGGCAGCUAGGUUAGCUACAUCUAAAACAAUUGUGCAUGUGCUUUUACUCGAGAUGGCCAUCAUAUUUCAGAAUGUAGCAAGUGUUUCUCUAUAUCUCUCAUUUUGUCACAUAGACUGUUAAAGAGGAAUGUAUGGAAAGGUCGAGUUUAAUUAAAUUUUACUGCUUCAUCAACAACACUGUUAUGUGAAAUACAAUGUUUUUCCUUUCUAAAAAAUUAUGAGUGCAUGGCAAUGAAGAAUACAAUGACUACUAGAUUACUGAUAUAAUAAUUUGGUGCUGCCACCUUAAUUCAUGUUAAGAUGACAGCAGUUUUACCAUCAUUGUUUUUGCACCAUCAAUGUACAUGUCAACUCAGUGAAAAAGACAAAUUAUGUCAGUAUUAUUAUCAACUAGUUUUGACCUCAUUGACCCUAAAAGGGCCUUAUGGGCUGUUUUUGGUUCCACAGACGAUACUUUGAGAACAACUGAGUUAGGAAACAAGGGGGUAGGAGGGAACUGUACCAGUGUAUUUCAAAUCUCCCUAAUAUCCUGACAUAUGCUGAUAGAAUGAAGACCUCAAACCCAUCAAAAAAGAGGGCCAUUUAUUUGGGUUCAUCAACCAUCUAUCCCAAUAAUCCCCAGUACUUGUUCCCAGUGGUAGACAUUGUUGUGAUCUAGGCUUCUUCAGUUUGGAUGGAUGUUGUUGGAAUGAAUGUGAUAGUCCUAAAUCUUUAACCACUGAUUCACAAUAUCUAGGUCUUCUGCUGUAGUUGGAGGGGGAGAAUUCAAGUAGUUUUUGGAUUUUAUCAAGUAAUCCUGAGUGUCUACUGCAGCAAACUCAGGUUGCUAUUAGAGCUUCAUCUUUUCCUUGUGUUAUCAUUCCUUUUCUGUCAUCAGAUGCAGGAGUUUGCUACAUAUUUUUCCUUUUUCCCUGAAGACUGCUACCUUAGAAGCAGUCAGGCUUAUUUUUGCGUUAUUUACUUAUAACAUCUGCUUUAUAGAGACAGGGAAUAAUUCUUGUUGACUCAACUAUUUUAUCUUGCUUAGUGAGAUAAAGUUCAGUAACACCCAAAGCUUUUGUGGUCAGCAGUUACUGACUGGUACAAAGUUACGACUUUUAUGUACUUAUUGAAGUGCUUUCAGUUCAUGAAUCACUGACAUUUGUUUUUCUUAUCCCAAGUUGAGAAAAUCACACAUAAACCUGUAAGAACUCUGCUUGGUAUGGCAAGUAAAGUUAAGAUUUAAUUUCUAGAGACUAGAGAAUGCCUCUUUAUUCCAAAGCUUGAUGCUCUUUACUGAUAUGUUCCAACCUCUGUAGACACCUAAUACUAAUGAAGUAUUAAUUUUUAUACUGGUUUCAGUCUUUAUUUCAUUUUUUAUAUUUAAAUCUAUUUCAUUUCCUCUCAUCUACUAUUAUUUAUUGCUCUCAUUGCACUUUAUUG
rnacentral:lncRNA from 1 species